UAUUAGGUUCGUGCAAAAGUAAUUGUGGUUUUUGUCAUGACUUUUAAUGGCAAAAACUGCAAUUACUUUUGCACCAA
ensembl:miRNA